UACGUAGGGUGCAAGCGUUAAUCGGAAUUACUGGGCGUAAAGCGUACGCAGGCGGCUUUGCAAGACAGGUGUGAAAUCCCCGGGCCUAACCUGGGAACUGCAUUUGUGACUGCAUGGCUAGAGUUUGUCAGAGGGGGGUGGAAUUCCACGUGUAGCAGUGAAAUGCGUAGAUAUGUGGAGGAACACCGAUGGCGAAGGCAGCCCCCUGGGAUGUGACUGACGCUCAUGUACGAAAGCGUGGGUAGCAAACGGG
rnacentral:rRNA from 1 species